AGAUGAAGGAUCCGAGCCCUGGAAGUUGCAGGACUGGUAAGCAGCAGGCUGGAACAGAAAUAGUCUAAUUUUCAUCAGUUGAAUGCAGUAAUAUAAUGGAAGUGCAAUCAAUACAAUAUGAAUAUGAUGAACCUUGAAGCUAUAUGUUGAAAAUGACCAAGUCUCACAUUUAAGCAGCCUGAGUCUCUGAAUUUCCACACAGAAGACCACCUAUCCAACACUGGCACUUGACUGCUACAGACGCGUAGAGGUCCAAGAGCAGGGUGGAAGCCCAGCCGUGUGAAAUGCGCAGUUCACCAGCUCUGGGGCAGCAAGACAGCUUAAGAUGCACCGACUGAAAGCAUCAAAGAAGAACUGUGUGAAAACUAACUUCUUGUCAUUCUUUCACAUUCGCCACACCACAUUUUAAAGAAAAAUAUACCUCUUGCAAAGCUGCCUCUUUGAAAAUGUGGAACACAGAACUUCAC